rnacentral:rRNA from 1 species
UACGGAGGGGUGCAAAGCGUUUAUCCCGGGAUUCACUGGGUUUAAAGGGUGCGUAGGUGGGUUGGUAAGUUCAGUGGUGAAAUCCCCGAAGCUUAACCUGGGAACUGCAGUCGAUACUACUCAGCUAGAGUUUGGGAGAGGGACGCGGAAUUCCAGGUGUAGCGGUGAAAUGCGUAGAUAUCUGGAGGAACACCGGUGGCGAAGGCGGCGUCCUGGACCAACACGUGACACUGAUGAGCGAAAGCCAGGGGAGCAAACGGG